CGGAACGUGCCCGAUCGUGGGGGAUAACGCAGCGAAAGCUGUGCUAAUACCGCAUACGAUCUACGGAUGAAAGCGGGGGAUCGCAAGACCUCGCGCGGACGGAGCGGCCGAUGGCAGAUUAGGUAGUUGGUGGGGUAAAGGCUCACCAAGCCUGCGAUCUGUAGCUGGUCUGAGAGGACGACCAGCCACACUGGGACUGAGACACGGCCCAGACUCCUACGGGAGGCAGCAGUGGGGAAUUUUGGACAAUGGGCGCAAGCCUGAUCCAGCCAUGCCGCGUGCAGGAUGAAGGCCUUCGGGUUGUAAACUGCUUUUGUACGGAACGAAAAGGUUCUUUCUAAUAAAGAGAGCUCAUGACGGUACCGUAAGAAUAAGCACCGGCUAACUACGUGCCAGCAGCCGCGGUAAUACGUAGGGUGCAAGCGUUAAUCGGAAUUACUGGGCGUAAAGCGUGCGCAGGCGGCGAUGUAAGACAGAUGUGAAAUCCCCGGGCUCAACCUGGGAACUGCAUUUGUGACUGCAUCGCUGGAGUGCGGCAGAGGGGGAUGGAAUUCCGCGU
rnacentral:rRNA from 1 species